GUGGGGAAUUUUGGACAAUGGGGGCAACCCUGAUCCAGCCAUUCCGCGUGAGUGAAGAAGGCCUUCGGGUUGUAAAGCUCUUUCGGCAGGAACGAAACGGUCCGCUCUAACAUAGCGGGCUACUGACGGUACCUGAAGAAGAAGCACCGGCUAACUACGUGCCAGCAGCCGCGGUAAUACGUAGGGUGCGAGCGUUAAUCGGAAUUACUGGGCGUAAAGCGUGCGCAGGCGGCUUUUUAAGCCAGAUGUGAAAUCCCCGGGCUUAACCUGGGAACUGCAUUUGGAACUGGAAGGCUAGAGUGCGGCAGAGGGGGGUAGAAUUCCACGUGUAGCAGUGAAAUGCGUAGAGAUGUGGAGGAAUACCGAUGGCGAAGGCAGCCCCCUGGGUCGACACUGACGCUCAUGCACGAAAGCGUGGGGAGCAAACAGGAUUAGAAACCCCAGUAGUCC
rnacentral:rRNA from 1 species